rnacentral:tRNA from 1 species
GCACUGGUGGUUCAGUGGUAGAAUUCUCACCUUCCAUGUGGGAGACCUAUGUUCGAUUCCCUGCCAGUGCA